AUCCUUCUGGUUCAUGAGUGUGAUGAAUGGUGCGUUCACGGACCCUCUGUGAAAGGUGCUGCCUUCACUUGUUACGCAAUGCGCCUCAGCCCUUCUGAUC
ensembl:snoRNA